AAUAGAUAACGGUUUUGCAAAAAUCCGUUAUCUAUGUAGUGUUGUCUAUAUGCAUAGAUAACGGUUUCAAUUAAUUCAUUAUGUUUUUGCAUUAUCUAUUAGUUACAUACAUAACGGUAUUACAAACCGUUAAGCCGACCGUUAUCUAUGUGCGUAUUUUUGAACUCUUAGAUAACGAUUAUUGAAACCGUUAAGUAAAAGUGUUAUGUAUGCUAUUAUUUCAUUUAAUUUUUUAUUUUCAUAAUUAAUUUAUUAAUUAAAUAAUUUAAAAAUAUUGUAUAAUUCUAUCUCUCAUCUCUUCCCCAAAUCUCUCUCUCUCUUCGCGAUCUCUCACUCUUUGAGAGAUAGUCGCCGCCGCUGCCGAGGCAAGUUCCGGCGAAUGGUAGCUAUUCGCGCUCUUCCGGCGACAUCGGUCGCCGCGACCUCGCCUCUCCAUUUUCCUCUAACAUAUAGCUAGGGCAAAGGUUGAGCCCUAGUUCUUCUCGCCCCCACCCACCCUGCAUCACGUCGCCUCUGACGCCACUCUUCUCGCAGCAGCAGAUCGGGCGGCGGAGCACCCUUCUCCCCUCCACCGAGCACGAGCAGACCACCCCUCUCCUCCACCGACGCCACUUUUAUUGCAGCAGCAGCAGCAGCAGAUCGGGCUUUUUGCUUCUUCGUCUGCCACUUACCGCACCCGUCUCUCUUUAUCCAUCCGUUAGCCCUAGCAGCUGCCGCCGGUCGAGCUCUCAAUCGCAAACCCUAGGAGCCGCCGCUGCCGCCUUCUACAAUAGCCACCACCAAGGCUGAGAUUGCUAAGAUACGAGAACUGGAUGAUGACGAGGAUGAGAACACUGAUACUUCUGCUGAGAAUUUUGGAGAUUGAUGCAGUUUGUUCCAGGAAUGGAUGAGGUCAAGAAGGCUAAGAAUGACAUUGCAUCAGCCUCAGCUUUUGUCAACGAGGGGAUUCAAGAUGAGCUUGUAGCAUAUGCCUUGAGUCCUUUAAAGGCUACAAAAAUACACAUAUUAUCAUAAUCUCUUAUGGGCAUCUCUGAAUUAGAACUGCAUUUUUCUGUUUUUUGUAUUUUGUUUUCUUGGGGUGUAAUUUUCAUUUCACUGGAUGGUAUAGGUGCUAAACCGGAUUGCUGGACUGGACAAGAAAUCAUGAUUUCCUAAAAGUUUUGAAUAAGUGAAUUUGGGCAUUCUUGAGUUUCGAAAUGGAAUUUGUUGUGCUGGGGCACCUGCUGCUGUUUUGAGCAAGGUGCUUAAAGAUAAAGAGGGGCUGCCUCAGGUUUUACUAUGCCGAGUUGGAUUUAUCAAGGAAGCACUUCUUUUUCCCGCUGUUAAAAGUGGAGAUGAAAAAGUGAUAGGAGGACUUGCAUGCUUGAUGUCGGAAAUUGGUCAAGCUUUCUACAAGCAAACUGCUUUGGGAAAAUUGUAGACUCAUACUUGGCGCCCGUGGCGAUGCUUUUGAGCAUGAGGCAACUAGAAGAAUGCGUAAUGAAUUUAUGGUAGCUUGGGAUGGCUUGAGGUCAAAAGACAACCAGAGAAUCAUAGCAGGUUGAUUAACUAGUUCUUGAGGACUUGGUGCUAGAAACAUUGUAUGAUAGAUUUUUGUUUUAGCUAUAAGGUAGUUGGUAUUUUCAAUUUUGAAUCGGAAUAUGCAAUGAUGAUGUAUACUUGAUAUUUGGUUCAUUUGUAUAAUAAUGUAUGCAUAUUUUGGAUGAUAUAU